rnacentral:rRNA from 1 species
AUUGAACGCUGGCGGCAGGCCUAACACAUGCAAGUCGAGCGGAAACGAUCCUAGCUUGCUAGGAGGCGUCGAGCGGCGGACGGGUGAGUAACGCGUGAGAAUCUACCCAUGAGUGGGGGACAACCCGGGGAAACUCGGGCUAAUACCGCAUACGCCCUACGGGGUAAAGCAGGGGACCUUCGGGCCUUGCGCUGAUGGAUGAGCUCGCGUCGGAUUAGCUUGUUGGUGAGGUAAAGGCUCACCAAGGCGACGAUCCGUAGCCGGUCUGAGAGGAUGAUCAGCCACACCGGGACUGAGACACGGCCCGGACUCCUACGGGAGGCAGCAGUGGGGAAUCUUGGACAAUGGGGGCAACCCUGAUCCAGCCAUGCCGCGUGUGUGAAGAAGGCCUUCGGGUUGUGAAGCACUUUCAGCAGGGAGGAAGGCUUACCCCUAAUACGGGUGAGUACUUGACGUUACCUGCAGAAGAAGCACCGGCUAAUUUCGUG